UGCAGUCGGGCGGUAGCACAGAGGAGCUUGCUCCUUGGGUGACGAGCGGCGGACGGGUGAGUAAAGUCUGGGGAUCUGCCUGAUGGAGGGGGAUAACUACUGGAAACGGUAGCUAAUACCGCAUGACGUCUUCGGACCAAAGUGGGGGACCUUCGGGCCUCACGCCAUGAGAUGAACCCAGAUGGGAUUAGCUGGUAGGUGAGGUAACGGCUCACCUAGGCGACGAUCCCUAGCUGGUCUGAGAGGAUGACCAGCCACACUGGAACUGAGACACGGUCCAGACUCCUACGGGAGGCAGCAGUGGGGAAUAUUGCACAAUGGGGGAAACCCUGAUGCAGCCAUGCCGCGUGUGUGAAGAAGGCCUUCGGGUUGUAAAGCACUUUCAGCGGGGAGGAAGGCAAUAAACUUAAUAAGUUUGUUGAUUGACGUUACCCGCAGAAGAAGCACCGGCUAACUCCGUGCCAGCAGCCGCGGUAAUACGGAGGGUGCAAGCGUUAAUCGGAAUGACUGGGCGUAAAGCGCACGCAGGCGGUCUGUUAAGUUGGAUGUGAAAUCCCCGGGCUCAACCCGGGAACAGCAUUCAAAACUGACAGGCUAGAGUCUCGUAGAGGGGGGUAGAAUUCCAGGUGUAGCGGUGAAAUGCGUAGAGAUCUGGAGGAAUACCGGUGGCGAAGGCGGCCCCCUGGACGAAGACUGACGCUCAGGUGCGAAAGCGUGGGGAGCAAACAGGAUUAGAUACCCUGGUAGUCCACGCCGUAAACGAUGUCGACUUGGAGGCUGUGGUCUUGAACCGUGGCUUCCGGAGCUAACGCGUUAAGUCGACCGCCUGGGGAGUACGGCCGCAAGGUUAAAACUCAAAUGAAUUGACGGGGGCCCGCACAAGCGGUGGAGCAUGUGGUUUAAUUCGAUGCAACGCGAAGAACCUUACCUACUCUUGACAUCCAGAGAAGACUGUAGAGAUACGGUUGUGCCUUCGGGAGCUCUGAGACAGGUGCUGCAUGGCUGUCGUCAGCUCGUGUUGUGAAAUGUUGGGUUAAGUCCCGCAACGAGCGCAACCCUUAUCCUUUGUUGCCAGCGAUACGGUCGGGAACUCAAAGGAGACUGCCGGUGAUAAACCGGAGGAAGGUGGGGAUGACGUCAAGUCAUCAUGGCCCUUACGAGUAGGGCUACACACGUGCUACAAUGGCGCAUACAAAGAGAAGCGAGCCUGCGAGGGUGAGCGGACCUCAUAAAGUGCGUCGUAGUCCGGAUUGGAGUCUGCAACUCGACUCCAUGAAGUCGGAAUCGCUAGUAAUCGUAGAUCAGAAUGCUACGGUGAAUACGUUCCCGGGCCUUGUACACACCGCCCGUCACACCAUGGGAGUGGGUUGCAAAAGAAGUAGGUAGCUUA
rnacentral:rRNA from 1 species